GGGGGCGUUUAUGGAUUCGACGGGGAUAGUACGAGCAUGGGUUGCGGGUAGUGGGGACGCGUCCACUUCAUCAACGCUAAAGCCUAUUAAACGGCAACCGUAAUACUUCCUACGCUGUAGCAGCCUAAGAAACUGCACGCGUGCUUCUACCUUGCAUCGCCCAUGUGCCAGGAUAGGGGCUCACAUUUAGUGGGAUACGCUGUCUAGUCUCCGCCUGGGGCUAGCUGAAGACGACAAUCAGGCUGACCUGUAGGAUAGCCGGUUACGGGGCGCUCCCACAGGUGACAUCAAAACUGUGACUACACCCGUAGAUGCCUAUGUGGCGUUGUCUUCGGACAGGGGUUCAAAUCCCCUCGCCUCCACCA
rnacentral:tmRNA from 1 species